rnacentral:rRNA from 1 species
CGUAGGUCCCGAGCGUUGUCCGGAUUUAUUGGGCGUAAAGCGAGCGCAGGCGGUUAGAUAAGUCUGAAGUUAAAGGCUGUGGCUUAACCAUAGUACGCUUUGGAAACUGUUUAACUUGAGUGCAGAAGGGGAGAGUGGAAUUCCAUGUGUAGCGGUGAAAUGCGUAGAUAUAUGGAGGAACACCGGUGGCGAAAGCGGCUCUCUGGUCUGUAACUGACGCUGAGGCUCGAAAAGCGUGGGGGAGCGAACAGGAUU